GACAGCAGCAUCCUUAGUUUCUGGUCUAUCUAUCUGUUGUUGUUUUGUGAUAAACAUUACUAAUGGAUGCCAUAAACCACAGCACAGAUGGUGUCAAAAGAAGUUAGGAAUUAAACAUUUUUUUUAAGCUUACUUCCAGGCUGUGUCAUCUGUAAGACUGAGUGACACAUUGCACAUCAUAAGCUGCAAUGUUUGGCAUUCUUUUAUGGAGUUUUAUGGAGUUUUAUGGAGUUCUUCUAAUACCACUUUUUUUUUUUUUCAUAAGGAAAAGAAACUACUUGUUUCUUCACCUCUCAGUAAACCCUAACACAGAAGAAUGAGUUACCCAUGACUGAAAUUACUAAACAGCUCUGAUAACACUUUUCUCUCAUCAAGAAAAAAACCUUAAAUUAGAAACUUUCUGAAGUAUUCUACCUCGGUUGUUAUUUUCUAGGUUAAACACUAAUUAUGUAAGGACUUGCUGUCAGUUUUUCCCUAAAGCAUUUGCAAAUUCAGCAUCACUGGGGAAGAUUAACGUGUGUUAAAGGAAAUACAAGAAGAUUUCUUAACACUCUGUUAACUGCAAGAUGCUUUGCCUUAAGGAAGUUGAACACGCAGGAUUUUGAUGCACCCUCAGCAAGUUUGCAAAGGACACCAAGCUGUAUGGUGUAGUGGAUGCUCCUGAAGGAUGAGAUGCCAUUCAGAGGGAUCCAUACAGGCUCAAGCAGUGGGCCCGAGAGAACUUCAUGAGGGUCAACAAAUCCAAAGAUUUAUCAUGAACCAUCUCCUCCAACAACUGGAGCAAGACACUGUGUUAUUCGACGCUUCAUCACAGGAAUCUCUGUUCCUGUCGUUGCAGAAGUGGGACUGAUGUUUGAGGUUGUGGUGCUCAGAACUUCCCCAGGGGCUGGAGAGACCUGUAUAUCUAUAUACAUGCAUCUCAGAUCAUUAAACUUCACCAGAGAGCAGAACUCAAGGAAGAAAACCAAUUACUUCACUAUAAGCGCUGAAAGCUGAUACUUCUGUCUCUUCCCCAACAACCCUAAGAGAUAUGGCUCCAAGAAGCACCUCCAAUGCUCAAAAAUACACAUGGAGGGACAACAGUGAAGCAUAUGGUUGCCAGGAAGCUGGGGGUCAGCGCCACAGAGGUUACAAGAGUGCCUGAUGAAGAGCAGCAGAGACCCCCAGAUGCCUGCAGGGACUCAUCUCUUGUUGGUUUUGGUGAGUUAGUCCCCUCAGUGCCUUCAAAGAUGUGAACCAAUGUAUCCACUAACUGUCUGAUAUUAAGAUAAGUCAGAGAGCAUUAGAGACUCACAGAGGGAAGACAACUGGUGAAACCCUGAACGUUUGUGACUGAAGGCUACGUGUGGGUUGGGAACGCCAAGAAUCAAAACACAACUCUCUCCAAAUCCAUAAUAGCCACUGUGCUGUUCUCUGCUAUGAGAAGAAAGGAAUAUGUAUUAAGGGUUGUAUGUUCCCAUUUGGAAAUCUCUAGGUUCUUUCAGAUCUGAAGAACCAAGGGGAAUACUCAGUUAAAAUGGCCCCUUCUUUGAAGAUAUAUAAUUGAACUCACUCUAUAUAUUGACCAAAUAGUACUAUACUCCUUAAUUGUCAGCUAUUAUCGUGUGGUCCAAAAGGGCAAUUCAGUCACAGAUUUAAUUUCUUCAUAUAUUUAUUUUAACUGUGUCCUGAAUGAAUCUACCAAUUUCUGUUCCUAUCCCCUCUUGGAAGCUGAGUGGAAAACAGACUGACACUGGAUGUGCUACAGACAUUUGACACAGGUUUUGUAGUGCUUUAUUCUGAACAGUAAUUAGGUAAAUCAGUACUGAACAUAUGCAGCAGGCAGUCUUUAGAUAGAAAGGAAAACUAAUUACCAUAAUUUCAUAUGGAAUUUGGAGACUUCUAAUUACAGUGUUAAUCUCACUCAAGUCAAAGCCUUUAUUUCUUUCUUGAAUCCCAGAGGUUAGGUAGACGUGUGGAGCCUCCUUAAUGCUGAAUCCAGAAGUGACAGAAAAUCUGCAUCUGAAGAGUGUGGCAUUUCCAAUAUUAAUCCAAGUGAUUUCUAUCCUAGAACUGCACAGCCUUCUUUUUCUCGGGAUAUAUACAACAGAGUUCCUCUCAGCUGCAGUGAACUGGUCACCUCUGCCAUGUCUGAAGGAGAAUGAGUGAAAAAAUCCCACACAGUAGAGUGCAACCUCCCCAACCUACAAACUGAGGUAGCACACACUGAAGAGUCUUCUGGGUGUUUUAUUAUUGCCUCUUGCAUCCAUAUUGCAGCUGCUGUUUCACAGAUGCAAACUCUGAGUUGUUCAGCUGCACUAUUUCACCGUGCAUUAGCAGGGUCCAGCAGGGCACCCUGGAUCACCAGACUAUAGCCAAGUACAAGAGGAGGGCUAUCACACCACAUGUCCACAUUUUCCCCCUUUAGGCAGUGAGUAUGAGUCUCAAGGGAAGGUGUUUUGGAUAUGAAACAGGAAUGCAGCUCUUUCCCCCAGAGCCUUUUCCAGCUCCUAGUCUUUCAAAAACAGAUUCUCUGUUCAUUUUGUUUUGGAAAAAGAUGUCACAGAGGAACAAAAUAUUCUCGUGGAUGAGGAUGGAAUACUUCUUAGUCAAAUAUCAUGUGUUCUGCACAGUGGGAAUCCUUCAGCUUAAAGGGAUUAAAUAAAAGGAAAUAAACUAGUUCUGCUGCAUAUGUAGAGUACAUUGUAUUACCCUGUUGAUAUAUGAACCUCUUAGAAUUCCUUUCAAAGGUGAUAGUCAGGACACCAAGCUUUACAGGAACAUGCAUCACCAUAAAUUUAUGGUUUUUUUCAUAAUUAAUAUUCUCUGCUUAUGGGGAACAGAAUCUGCCUGAAAGAAUCACAUUGCGAGUUUUGUUGUGCCUAAACAAAAAGAUAAACGGAUGGUCAGCUUUAAAUUCAUCUUUGUGUUGCAGAAUCCGAUAUCCUGGUACCUCUAGAGACUCUCCACCCUGUUCAUUUACUUCCAAGGAGACUUUAUGAAUGAUCUUUGACAAAACCACACCUUUGGUUUCACACAUCUCAGAGAAAUCUGAUGCACUCUCAUUAAAGACAUUUGUCAUGCCGAGGCUUUCCAGGAGUGGCUUCAGGUCAUAAUCGCCUUCCACACUAAACUUUGGAAGAAACACAUUCACUUUGGUGUUGGCCAUCAUGCUGGGAUUGGUCCACUGUAAUAAUGUCUCAGGGGUGAGUGCCUUUUCCAGCUGAGGACAUAAAGAACAAAGGAAAUUAAUGUGCAGUCCAGAGAAAGUGGGAACAAAAAGACCAUUUCUGAACUCAUCAGUCCUAUCAAACCCCCAGAAAACAAAGUCCAAAAGACAACUUUUGCUUGUAGCAUUCAGAGUUAACUUACACUCUCAGUUAUAUUGAUAUAAUGAUUAUUUAACCUAUAGAGUAGACUUCCAGAGAAACUCCACUAAAUGUGCAUACUCUGAUUACUGGUUCUUCACAAGCGUUUGCUAUGUAAUCAGCUCAACAACCCAAUGAAGGAAUUCAAGGAAGACAGUCCCUACCCAAGCUACCCACCGCUAACCGACACAGCUGUGCAUGGAAAGCAUCAUCUCAGUACUGUUUUUUUCUCUCACCUUUUCCAGGCCAGUCGUUUCAUCUUCAAUGUCUUUGGGAAGCAGAAUGAGCAUGCUUAUAUGUUUGUUAAGGCAUGGAAGUUCAAGGAUUGCAACAUUCAACUCUUUUACAUAACCCAGGCAAAAAGUAGCUUCCAGAUUCAUCAUUUGCACUGGCUUAGUUUCAGUCUGCAAAACACAAGAGGAGACAAUCUAGCACUCCUUUUAAUUCACAGAGAAGGUGAGAGAGGAAACUUCGCAAGCUUGCAUGAAAGUGGUACAUUGAUUACCAUCAUGGAAUUUGUUGGCUUCCCUAAGUAACAAUAUCAGCUGUAAGACUCUGCUAGUGAAAGCUGUUGGUACUUUAAGGGGAGCAGUUUUCAUGUGACAAGGUGUACUUAAUACAAUAUACUGGGGAUGUGCUUUAAAGGAAAGAAUUACCUACUAUCGGUGACCUUUAGUGCUUGUUUCACCAACAGCUUCAAACUAGCAACAUAACAAGAAAACUGGCUCAGGUACUUUUGCAACAGCACAUAGGUUUUGACAGAGAGUCUAAGAAUGCCAUAGUAGUAACAAUAUUUUUCACUUGCUCUCACUGAAAUUUCCUUAGCACAAAAUUGGCAAACAUUCAUCUGAGUAGAAGGUGUACUCUAUUUUAUUUCAGGACGUACCUUGUUGACUUUAAAAGGACAUUCCUUGAUCUCUGCUUCUGGGAACUUCUUCAUCCAGUUUGUGACAAAAUAAGCUGCAUUAACUAGGAGGAUCUGAGUCUGGUCACUUACACUGUCCUCAUUCAGAAUAUUCUCCAUUUUGCCUGUGAAGAUGGUUAAGCUGGUCAUUAAUACAGUAAAUUAUCAACAUAUGUGUUGUUUUCACAGAACAUGGAAACACUGUACUGAAUUAAAAUAUUUCUGCCCUGCACCUCACAGAUAGCAGUUUUAAUUAUAAAGGGAAAUCCCCACAUAGAAGCAUUUAGUUGCUUAGCUGCAGCUCCAUGUUUAACGUGGAAUUUGGGAUCAAGACAGAUCUUCCAAGUGACAUUUUUACUCGGUUUACGUAAAACAGAAUAAAAAAUAUGUCUACUGCUUUUCUUUAGUACUUUAAAGAAGGUACUGAAACUUCAGUGAAAUUCAGCAGGUAGAACUGAAAAAAAUAUUUCUCAUUUGGAGAGAGAGACUUCAAGGGAAGUUCCAGUUUAGCUUUUACUCACUUUUGGAGUGAUACAUAAGAAUAAAAUAACCCGAAUAAGAAAUGCCGCUAACCAUCUAAUUACAGUUCAUAACCAAAUAGUGCCAUGGAUUUCAAAAAGAGAACGUAAUUCUUUCCCUUGCUUUAUUCUGUGUCUGUCCAAACACUGUCAUGAGGCACUGAAUUCACAGUGUUGUGGACGUUAGUCUUCAUUCAUGCACAUAUCACACAGGCAGCGCAAAGUACUUCCCUGUGGGCACCUGUGUCACCUUGGGAUGGAGCAGAUGUAACUCAGGCACCCAUAUUUUCAUAUGUGUACCACAUGAGGGCAAUAGGCAGCAACCAACCCUGGAGCUACCUAUGGACAGCAUGUACAUGAGCUCUGCCUUGGGCACUGCGUACCAGACCUCUACCCUGCACAGACUGGGCAGGUUCUGCCUGGGAGCCUUGAUGGUCACUGAGAGGCACUUCUUGUGACUUAGUGGCUCAGUGGUACUGCAGGAAAAGUGCUGCAGAACUAUUGCCACGGGAGUGUUUCCAAGUAAGAAACACAUGUCCACCUGUGGUCAAAAUCAGCUGUGCUGCUGAGAUGAGCUACUAAUUAACAGCCUGAAAUUCAGAGUUCAGCACAUACUCUCCAUUAGAGAACGGGGCCAGGAUUUGAUGUAUUGAUGUCAGAUGUUUGUGAAGCUCUGCAGCCAGGAGCCAAACUUUCCCAAUGAAAACAAAUGAGAUGCUUUGCCAAAGGCUAAUGUAAAGUCUGCCUCCAGAAAUGCCACAGUAGUAAAGUAAAUGAUUUAAAAACAUGCUAACACAGCUAAUCCUCAUGAAUCCAAAUAAUAGGUGCAGUCCCUUUGCUUUCACUGUAUAUUUACUUCUAAAAGCAAUAGUUAGGAGAUGUCAUGAAGACAAAGACAUCAUUCUUCAAAGAGGUAAUCAGCAUCCCCGAGGUUAGGCCCUACUCACCAUCAGUUAGCUCUGAGAGAGAUUUGUUGAUCUUCUGCCGUGUUUCCUCAGUUUUUUCCUUGAACUCCACUAGUUCCAGCUCUGAUGGAAAAGGCCUCUUUGUGGAGUUAACAAAGUCCUGAAAGACACAAGUACCAAAGCUAACCUUCCUUAGAUGUUCUUCACUAGAUGACUCUCCACACGGCCUACAAAACCAGUAUCCCAAGCUUCAUUACGGUGUAGGCAGAGAGUAUAUUACAAAGGACAGCUAAUAAGUAACAGCAGGUGACAGCCAGGACACGCAGCCGCAUUCAGCAGAUUGCUCCCAAGACUGUCUUCAAUACAGUUAUACUGGCUGCUAAAGUACCUUUCGUACUGCAGGAGUGAACAUGUUGCCUGAGUUUGAAAGGAUAAAGUGGCCUUCAGUCUACACCUGGGCAAAAGAAAGGGAUGAGACAAAGGCCACAGGCUGCUCACAGUGUGCCUAUCCUUGUCAGGUGAGAUGCUCACUGCUGUGGAUGGGGCCAAAAAGCAGGCAACCUGAUUAUAACACCAUUCAAGCAGGCUGUGAGUCUUCUGAAACAUCACUUCUAGGCUGAAGUUGCCCUUGCUUGGGGCCCUAUUCAAAGGCAACUCUGAUAAAACAAACACAACAUUUUUCUCAGUUGUUUGCAAGGUCCUUAAGCUUCAUGGCCAAACAACACUUUCCUCACUUGUGUUGUUUGAAUAACCAGGCUUGUGCCUCCUCAGUUAGAUUAAGAAAACUACUCUUUAUGCAGUAAUUACUUGGGUGUGUGGACUAGACACACUUGCACCACCAUCUUUAUUUAAAAUCCUUCCCAGUCAUACUUAUAUUGCAAAGCCCUUGAUGUGGCAUAGAAGUCAUAUUGCAUUCAAAACCUACUGCGCCUACUGACCUAAAACAUAUUAAUGAAAGAAUUGCAACUCUAGCAGUGGCUGCAUUGCUUGGGGUCAAGCAGAACAAUCAUCCUCCUACAAACUCUUAUUAUGCUGUUCAUCAUCUGAGUCUAGUCAAGUAAAAGCUAAUAGUGAGAGAACGUAUUUUGAAUAACAUUGAAGUCUGGUUGGUCGAGCAAUUCAAGCACUUUUCUGCAGUACUUACUGUGGUAGGGCUGAGCGACUUGUCUACAAAGAGCCGCUUGACCAUUUUCAGUGCAAAGAAAGAGGUGAGUUUGGAAACAUCUGCAGUUACCGUUUGAAACCCAAAAGAAACAUCUUUGACGUCUUGUAAAUGGAGCACCUGAUAAUGAACAAGAUAAAAUACUGAGCACCUUUCUUUUUAUUAUCUAAAAACUCAUAGAAUCAUAGUAUCAUUAAGGUUGGAAAUGACCUCUGGGAUGAUCUAGUCCAACUGUCAACCCACCACCACUGUGCCCGCUAAACCAUAUCCCACAGUGCCACAUGUACACAGUUCUUGAACAGCUCCUUGGGUAGCCUGUUCCAAUACCUCACUUUCAGAAAAAGAAAAAUUUCCUCAUAUCCAACCUGAACCUCCUCCAGUUCAACUUGAGGCCAUGGCCUCUCAUUCUACUAAUACUACCUGGGAGAAGAGGUCAGCCCCGAGCUCACCACAGCCUCCUCUCAUGCAGUUGUAGACAGGGAUAAGGUCUCCCCUGAGCCUCUCCUUCUCCAGACUGAACAAUCCCAGUUUUCUCAGCUGCUCUCCUGUAAGAUCUGUGUUCCAGACCCUUCACAGCUUUGUUGUCCUUCUCUGGACAUGCUCCAGGCCUAACAGCUUGGCAAUAAAUAAUGCUGUUUGUGACCAGAGCUUUGACUUUUUUGUAUUCAAGCUAACAACACGACUUCUCACUCUUAUUUAUUACUAAAAAAAAAAAUAAUUUAUUUGACAUCCCCACAUAAAUCUAAAAACUUGAUCCUAUCAAAACUUUAACCAAAUGUGUUUCCUUCCUGUGAGCAGUCCAAAGAAUUCCAUAGAGCUGUUCAUACUAGCAAAGUGAUUUAGUGAACUACAUAUCUGCAGCGUGGAGUCAUGCUUUUAUCAAACUCACAUUCUUGUCCAAAAAUCUGGAGUUUAGAGGCCAGAUAAAUAAAUGUUCCGGUUAGUUUCCUUUCUGGAAGUGGGUUACUUCUUUAAAAACUGCUUACCAUAUGGCAAGGUUUUCUGAUUAUUGACACAUGACGUCAUGUGGUAUUUCAGUAGAAAUCAGUCAGAUAAGCAGGUGAGCUUUGGCAGACAGAACGUAAGUUAGAGGUAAGGCUGCUGACCCACCUCCCAGCUCCGGGAAAUCACAUGCCCAGUUCCAGGAUAUUCUAGCAUGACCUAAACCUCUCUGCUUUUAGGUGCCUGCCUGUUGCAAGGUCUCUGAGAGUGCAUGUUCCAUUAAAAACAGCCUGCCCAACCCUUCUCAUCUUUCCCAACCAGCAUCAGUGACCUCCUUUUCCCUUUCAGCCUCACUCCUGCUCUUUCUCCCUGAACACACCAUGUCUUUACAGGCACAGUAAAUUACCUUGAGAAAUGUGAAACAUAAGUGCACUUGUGUAACAGAACCCUAUUUGUGGAUGUGGAUGUUCACUUACUGUGGGACGGUUCAAUGCAAAUUGCAGGCACAAGUGAAAGUGAAAUUAAGCACAGGUUAAUGUUUUAAGCUCUUCCAUUGCAAAGACAGUGCUUGAACUUUGAAAUGACAAGGAAGCUUUGGGGUGUCAUUUAAACUAGAAAUAAGAUCUAAAAAUCAUUUUUAUUUUUUUUUUUUAAAUAAUCCUAUUUGGGAAAACACCCAGCAGGCCUUUGUGGAUAUACCACUUUGUUUCUGUGCAAAUAGACUCAUUGCAAUCUGUAGGAUGAGCAGAGGCACCAGAGGCUGUGCUCCAGCAAUGUGCCGUCAGGGAAACCAAAGGUACAAGGAGGAACUGCUAAACGAAGAAAAAUGUAUUCAAAUACAUGGAAUGCCCCUGAGAGCCAGGUGAUAAUCAGCAUAUAAAUGCAUGCUGAAUUUGCUUCUCAUUCACCUCUAGGUAACUGCUGAGACUGUGGGCACUGGAAUAAAAAGAGGCUGUGUAAAUCCUGGCUCUCACAGAGGCAGUCGUGCAGCCUCUCACUGCCACAGAGCAACCUUGAUAAACUCAUUGCACCAUCACCAUGAUGCUGCUUCGUGGUGCUGUAAAACCCUUGAGCAUCUAGAGCUAUUUGCAAGGCAAACCACUACUCAAGCUUAGCUGCCUCCUACUGCAUUAUCUUC
rnacentral:lncRNA from 1 species